AUUGCACGCUGGCGGCAGGCCUAACACAUGAAAGUCGAGCGAGAGGCGGACGGGUGAGUCAUGUCUGGGAAACUGCCUGAUGGAGGGGGAUAACUACUGGAAACGGUAGCUAAUACCGCAUACCAUCAGAUGUGCCCAGGGGGGAUUAGCUCGUAGGUGGGGUAACGGCUCACCUAGGCGACGAUCCCUAGCUGGGCUGCGAGGCGGACCAGCCACACUGGAACUGAGACACGGUCCAGACGCCUACGGGAGGCAGCAUGGGGGAAUAUUGCACAAUGGGCGCAAGCCUGAUGCAGCCAUGCCGCGUGUGUGAAGAGGGCCUUCGGGUUGUAAAGCACUUUCAGCGGGGAGGCGUUACCCGCAGAAGAAGCACCGGCUAACUCCGUGCCAGCAGCCGCGGUAAUUC
rnacentral:rRNA from 1 species